rnacentral:rRNA from 1 species
UACGGGGGGGGCAAGCGUUGUUCGGAAUUACUGGGCGUAAAGGGCUCGUAGGCGGCCAACUAAGUCAGACGUGAAAUCCCUCGGCUUAACCGGGGAACUGCAUCUGAUACUGGAUGGCUUGAGUUCGGGAGAGGGAUGUGGAAUUCCAGGUGUAGCGGUGAAAUGCGUAGAUAUCCGGAGGAACACCAGUGGCGAAAGCGGCCACCUGGACUGCACCUGACGCUGACACGCGAAAGCUAGGGGAGCGAACGGG